GAGAGAGCUGGAAAGAGCUGAGGUGGUUGCAUAUUAAGGGUAAAUAUAGCUCAUGUACAGUGAAAAUGAGCUUUAUUUACUCAGCCUCUUUCUACUCCAACUCUUUGCCUGACAGUGGGCAGCAGCAGCUGGGGUAGGAAACAACGUGAGCCCACCACAGCUGGCCAGGGUGAGCUUUCUCUUCUGGUCGCGAGGGUUGCGUUGUGGUUUCAGCAGCCUGGCUGCAGCAGCCUUGUGUCAUCACCUGCAGAAGACUGCUCCGUGUGGGUUAUAAGGAUUGGAAACAAUAUAUGGAACACCUCACCUGGCACCAAGUAGGCGCCCGAUACAUGGAAGCUGGGAAUACUGUUACACACGUGCUGAAGAGCCACUGGAUGCCAGCUGAUGUCACCUCCCUGGGCCAGGGCACAGGAGCCGUGUGUGAAAGAUGGCAGAGCCUCAGUCAACUGCGUCUACAAUGGCUGUGACAAACUGAGUUCUGACUCCUCUGUUCCACACCCAUCCCCU